UACAGAGGGGGCAAGCGUUAUUCGGAAUUAUUGGGCGUAAAGGGCGCGUAGGCGGCAUGGCAAGUGGAUGGUGAAAUCCCUCGGCUUAACCGAGGAACUGCCGUCCAAACUGCUUCGCUUGAGACCGGGAGAGGUGAGUGGAAUUCCCAGUGUAGCGGUGAAAUGCGUAGAUAUUGGGAGGAACACCAGUGGCGAAGGCGGUCUGCUGGGCAGUUGCUGACACUGAUGCGCGACAGCGUGGGGAGCAAACAGG
rnacentral:rRNA from 1 species